UGAAAGUAGGAAGCUAUUCUCAAAUUACUAAUUGUCAUUAAGAAGUCAUAUGCUUAUUCUGUAAGAAAGGCCCUCAUUCAACAUCUUGCUGGCUUGAAAAUAACACAGGAGGCAUGAAUGAUGAUUUUCUGACCCACAGCAAAAGAAACAGCUGGGGGGUGGGGGUGGGGCGGGUGAGGGGAGCAGAGGGGAAACAGGCUAACGAAUAGCCAGACAAAAGAAGAGAUUGCCUUAAAAGACCUAAAGUAAGAGACUGAGGCUGGUGUUCCUGUGAGUAUUGCCUUUUUUUCAGAUUGCUAUUUCAAACAAUAACCUUGAUUCUUAAAUCAAUUAUGUUCAUUAAUCUCUGUUUAAGAAGUUACAGAUAC
rnacentral:lncRNA from 1 species